UGUGUGUGUGUGUGUGUGUGUUUAAACAGAUAUCAUGGAAAAAGAGAGAGAGAGAGAUACACACACUCAUACUUCUGAACCGGACUGAACUGGGCCGUGUGUCCAGUUCAGUGACCUGCAGCCCGACCGGCUGGCUGACUUGUCCCCCUGUGUUAAUGCCUCCCUCCCCCCGCCUGCCCAGUGUUCAGACUACCUGUUCAUUCCACUACAGCUGAACAGUAGUCCGCACAUUGGUUAGGCUGGGUCGGGACACACACAUCAAAAAAGACAAGGCUCUAACUUUUUCAGCUUUGAAGUACAAAUUAGACGUCAUCAUCACCGCAGGUCUUAUACAUCAGCAUAACGCUCUAAUACUAAUUUUGGUUAAGGACGUAACGGUAACCAAUAAAGCUGGAUGUGUUCUAAAUGUAACUGCCUGUUCUUGUGACUGCAAAAAUGAAUAAUUCAAAUGAAUAAAAAAUAAAUCACUUGGGUGUUUAA